rnacentral:rRNA from 1 species
UACGUAGGGGGCGAGCGUUGUCCGGAUUCAUUGGGCGUAAAGAGCUCGUAGGCGGUUCGGUAAGUCAGGUGUGAAAACUCCAGGCUUAACUUGGAGACGCCACCUGAUACUGUCGUGACUAGAGUCCGGUAGGGGAGCAUGGAAUUCCUGGUGUAGCGGUGAAAUGCGCAGAUAUCAGGAGGAACACCAGCGGCGAAGGCGGUGCUCUGGGCCGGAACUGACGCUGAGGAGCGAAAGCGUGGGGAGCGAACAGG